rnacentral:rRNA from 1 species
GGGUUGUGAGGUUAAGCGACUAAGCGUACACGGUGGAUGCCCUGGCAGUCAGAGGCGAUGAAGGGCGUGCUAAUCUGCGAUAAGCGCCGGUAAGGUGAUAUGAACCGUUAUAACCGGCGAUACCCGAAUGGGGAAACCCAGUGUGACUCGUCACACUAUCAUUAACUGAAUCCAUAGGUUAAUGAGGCGAACCGGGGGAACUGAAACAUCUAAGUACCCCGAGGAAAAGAAAUCAACCGAGAUUCCCCCAGUAGCGGCGAGCGAACGGGGAGGAGCCCAGAGCCUGAAUCAGCAUGUGUGUUAGUGGAAGCGUCUGGAAAGGCGCGCGAUACAGGGUGACAGCCCCGUACACAAAAGCGCAUGUGCUGUGAGCUCGAUGAGUAGGGCGGGACACGUGGUAUCCUGUCUGAAUAUGGGGGGACCAUCCUCCAAGGCUAAAUACUCCUGACUGACCGAUAGUGAACCAGUACCGUGAGGGAAAGGCGAAAAGAACCCCGGCGAGGGGAGUGAAAAAGAACCUGAAACCGUGUACGUACAAGCAGUGGGAGCACCCUGUGUGACUGCGUACCUUUUGUAUAAUGGGUCAGCGACUUAUAUUCUGUAGCAAGGUUAACCGAAUAGGGGAGCCGGAGGGAAACCGAGUCUUAAUUGGGCGUUAAGUUGCAGGGUAUAGACCCGAAACCCGGUGAUCUAGCCAUGGGCAGGUUGAAGGUUGGGUAACACUAACUGGAGGACCGAACCGACUAAUGUUGAAAAAUUAGCGGAUGACCUGUGGCUGGGGGUGAAAGGCCAAUCAAACCGGGAGAUAGCUGGUUCUCCCCGAAAGCUAUUUAGGUAGCGCCUCGUGAAUUCAUCUCCGGGGGUAGAGCACUGUUUCGGCUAGGGGGCCAUCCCGGCUUACCAACCCGAUGCAAACUGCGAAUACCGGAGAAUGUUAUCACGGGAGACACACGGCGGGUGCUAACGUCCGUCGUGAAGAGGGAAACAACCCAGACCGCCAGCUAAGGUCCCAAAGUCAUGGUUAAGUGGGAAACGAUGUGGGAAGGCCCAGACAGCCAGGAUGUUGGCUUAGAAGCAGCCAUCAUUUAAAGAAAGCGUAAUAGCUCACUGGUCGAGUCGGCCUGCGCGGAAGAUGUAACGGGGCUAAACCAUGCACCGAAGCUGCGGCAGCGA